AGAGUUUGAUUCUGGCUCAGGAUGAACGCUAGCUACAGGCUUAACACAUGCAAGUCGAGGGGCAGCGGGAAGUUAGCUUGCUAACUUGCCGGCGACCGGCGCACGGGUGAGUAACGCGUAUCCAACCUUCCCCUUAGUAGGGCAUAGCCCGUAGAAAUGCGGAUUAAUACCCUAUGUUAUUCGUCGAGGACAUCUGAAGUGAAUCAAAGGUUUACCGCUAAGGGAUGGGGAUGCGUCUGAUUAGGCAGCAGGCGGGGUAACGGCCCACCUGGCCGACGAUCAGUAGGGGUUCUGAGAGGAAGGUCCCCCACAUUGGAACUGAGACACGGUCCAAACUCCUACGGGAGGCAGCAGUGAGGAAUAUUGGUCAAUGGUCGAGAGACUGAACCAGCCAAAGUAGCGUGCAGGACGACGGCCCUAUGGGUUGUAAACUGCUUUUAUGCGGGGAUAAAGUGAGGGACGUGUCCCUUUUUGUAGGUACCGCAUGAAUAAGGACCGGCUAAUUCCGUGCCAGCCGCGGC
rnacentral:rRNA from 1 species